rnacentral:tRNA from 1 species
AUUUAUAUAGUAUAAUAAUUAUAAUUGAUUUCCAAUCAAAAGAUCUAUUCUAAUAGUAUAAAUA